GUCCGGUUUGCAGCAUGUACCGUGUUCGUAUGUCGGUCUAUCACGGAUUUCAAAGUGGGAGAGAUAUACUUAACAAACAGUUCCGAUGAGAUUGCUCCCUGUAUGAUUGGAGAACAA